rnacentral:rRNA from 1 species
AGUGAACGCUGGCGGUAGGCCUAACACAUGCAAGUCGAACGGCAGCACAGUAAGAGCUUGCUCUUACGGGUGGCGAGUGGCGGACGGGUGAGGAAUACAUCGGAAUCUACUUUUUCGUGGGGGAUAACGUAGGGAAACUUACGCUAAUACCGCAUACGACCUACGGGUGAAAGCAGGGGAUCUUCGGACCUUGCGCGAUUGAAUGAGCCGAUGUCGGAUUAGCUAGUUGGCGGGGUAAAGGCCCACCAAGGCGACGAUCCGUAGCUGGUCUGAGAGGAUGAUCAGCCCGACUGGAACUGAGACACGGUCCCGACUCCUACGGGAGGCAGCAGUGGGGAAUAUUGGACAAUGGGGGCAAGCCUGAUCCAGCCAUACCGCGUGGGUGAAGAAGGCCUUCGGGUUGUAAAGCCCUUUUGUUGGGAAAGAAAAGCAGCAGGUUAAUACCCCGCUGUUCUGACGGUACCCAAAGAAUAAGCACCGGCUAACUUCGUG